GAUGAACGCUGGCGGCGUGCUUAACACAUGCAAGUCGAACGGUGAAGGCGGAGCUUGCUCUGCUGGAUCAGUGGCGAACGGGUGAGUAACACGUGAGCAAUCUGCCCCUGACUCUGGGAUAAGCGCUGGAAACGGCGUCUAAUACUGGAUACGAGCUGCGAAGGCAUCUUCAGCAGCUGGAAAGAAUUUCGGUCAGGGAUGAGCUCGCGGCCUAUCAGCUUGUUGGUGAGGUAAUGGCUCACCAAGGCGUCGACGGGUAGCCGGCCUGAGAGGGUGACCGGCCACACUGGGACUGAGACACGACCCAGACUCCUACGGGAGGCAGCAGUGGGGAAUAUUGCACAAUGGGCGAAAGCCUGAUGCAGCAACGCCGCGUGAGGGACGACGGCCUUCGGGUUGUAAACCUCUUUUAGCAGGGAAGAAGCGAAAGUGACGGUACCUGCAGAAAAAGCGCCGGCUAACUACGUG
rnacentral:rRNA from 1 species